CCCUUGAGCUCCACUUACUUUCAAUAUGACUCCUAUAGACACUAUGUGUUAAUACCAGAAGAAUCAAAAGUCAGUAAGAGCCUCGGAGUAUGAAUCCUUGGAUCUAACUCGCAACAUUUUAUAACUGUUUCUUGCAGCCUUUUUGUUUGAAGAGUGUGGCUUCAGCCGGCUGCUGAGGAGCCUGGAGUUCUUGGCCGUGGUUUUUUCCUCUGAGUCGGAAUCAUUUUCUCCCCGGGCUUCCAGAAUCACCAGAGGAAUCUUCAUGGCAGAAUCUACAAGCCGCGCCAUCUUCUCUCUCUGAAGCCAAGCCCACGACGCCCUAGAAACUUCCCUGGAACGUCCUGUCUGUGCCUGGCUGAUGCGGAGACUUGCCGUCCCGGUUCACCUUCUUGUCGCCUCUGUUCUGAGAGGAGAAGGCGAUUUGAGCUCUCCUAUGACGAGGCGCCCAGAAACCACCACGGACUUCCUUCUUUCCUGCGCCGGUGUCUGACCUCCCCCCGCCCCCAGCAGUCGACAGCUGAGGGUCUGCCGGCAUUUUGAUGAUUGUUUCCAGUUGUCCCAACGGGACUUACUUGAUUAAGCCUCGUUUUCUACAUCAAAUGUACCACUUUACCUUCAUCGUAUGGCAGAUUCUUGUACACUGGAACUAAAAAUCGACCUUCUUGAUCAGCACACCUAAAUGAGAAUAAUGAAUAGCAGUUUUCACC